GUUGCUGUGAUGACAAUCUUAGG
rnacentral:piRNA from 1 species